GGUUGCGAUCAUACCAACACUAAUGCACCGGAUCCCAUCAGAACUCCACAGUUAAGCAUGCUUGGGCGAGAGUAGUACUAGGAUGGGUGACCCCCUGGAAGUCCUCGUGUUGCAACCCC
rnacentral:rRNA from 1 species